AAAAUUCUAUAAUACACGUUCAAGAAUUAUUUUAAAUAUUAAUGAUGAUUUUUGUUGAUUGUCUCAUUAAUUGUUUUGUAACCCGACCGGAGGAUAUGAUGAAUCGAACUGAACCGAGGGGAUAACCAAACUCGACUUAGAAAGCUUCUGAUCGGUCCAACUCUCUUAACUGAAACCAAACCGGAAACCUUUUAUCUCUCGGUUUGGUUCGGUUCAGAUUAUUACUGCAGGCCUAGAAUGAAAUGUUGAAUGCCCGUACCAACCGCUUGGUCUAGUGAUCAUGUGAAAAUGAGUAAACCAAAUUGAAAUCCCUAGAUUUGCGAGAGUGGAUCGGUCAUAGAGCUCAGUUUACGGUGGUGAAUCCAGUGAGCCAUGAGCCAUGAGACCACAAUUGGAGAAGAUGUGAAGCAAAAGCAGAUCGAGAACCAUCAAAAUUAGACCUUGCCCUUCCACGAACCCAGGUUGUGUAUCGACGAAUCCGACCUCAUCUUCCUUCUCAUUUCCAUUGACGAUCCGUGAAACCGAUGCACAGGAUCCCAUUCAGGUUCAUGGAUCUCAAAUGCAAAGCAACAUGGACACGCUUAUUCAACAUAGUCAAGGACCAAAGUAAACAAUGAGAUUCCUUAUGAGAUCUUAAAGAACAUUUUCAUACAAUAUAGUACAAACAGGAUCUUAACUUAGAUUCGUCAUACGAUAAAGUAAACCCGUCUCUUAGAUAGGCGAAUGAAACAACCAUGGAGAUAUUGAAAAGGUUUCAUCCUCGAUGUAAAAGGUAUAAUGUUUCUUGAUGUGCUGUUUUUUUCUUUUGCAUGUGUUGACAUGUUAUAUAUAGAGGUUGUAGAUGUUUAGGGUUAGGUUUGAUUGUAAAGCGAAAAAAUCUUGGUGAUCAAGUUCAAAAUCUUGAAAAUC